GAUGAACGCUGGCGGCGUGCCUAAUACAUGCAAGUCGAGCGAACAGAUAAGGAGCUUGCUCCUUUGACGUUAGCGGCGGACGGGUGAGUAACACGUGGGUAACCUACCUAUAAGACUGGAAUAACUCCGGGAAACCGGGGCUAAUGCCGGAUAACAUUUAGAACCGCAUGGUUCUAAAGUGAAAGAUGGUUUUGCUAUCACUUAUAGAUGGACCCGCGCCGUAUUAGCUAGUUGGUAAGGUAACGGCUUACCAAGGCAACGAUACGUAGCCGACCUGAGAGGGUGAUCGGCCACACUGGAACUGAGACACGGUCCAGACUCCUACGGGAGGCAGCAGUAGGGAAUCUUCCGCAAGGGGCGAAAGCCUGACGGAGCAACGCCGCGUGAGGGAUGAAGGUCUUCGGAUCGUAAAACUCUGUUAUUAGGGAAGAACAAAUGUGUAAGUAACUGUGCACGUCGUGACGGUACCUAAUCAGAAAGCCACGGCUAACGACG
rnacentral:rRNA from 1 species